GAUGAACGCUAGCUACAGGCUUAACACAUGCAAGUCGAGGGGAAACGACAUCGAAAGCUUGCUUUUGAUGGGCGUCGACCGGCGCACGGGUGAGUAACGCGUAUCCAACCUGCCCACCACUUGGGGAUAACCCUGCGAAAGUAAGACUAAUACCCAAUGACGUCUCUAGAAGACAUCUGAAGGAGCUUAAAGAUUUAUCGGUGAUGGAUGGGGAUGCGUCUGAUUAGCUUGUUGGCGGGGUAACGGCCCACCAAGGCGACGAUCAGUAGGGGUUCUGAGGGGAAGGUCCCCCACAUUGGAACUGAGACACGGUCCAAACUCCUACGGGAGGCAGCAGUGAGGAAUAUUGGUCAAUGGGCGAGAGCCUGAACCAGCCAAGUAGCGUGCAGGAUGACGGCCCUAUGGGUUGUAAACUGCUUUUAUAAGGGAAUAAAGUGAGUCUCGUGAGACUUUUUGCAUGUACCUUAUGAAUAAGGACCGGCUAAUUCCGUGCCAGCAGCCGCCGUAA
rnacentral:rRNA from 1 species